rnacentral:rRNA from 1 species
CCCUUAGAUGUCCUGGGCCGCACGCGCGUUACACUGAUGCAUUCAACGAGCUUAUAACCUUGGCCGAGAGGCCUGGGCAAUCUUGUUAACGUGCAUCGUGAUAGGGAUAGAUUAUUGAAAUUAUUAAUCUUGAACGAGGAAUUCCUAGUAAACGCAGAUCAUCAAUCUGCAUUGAUUACGUCCCUGCCCUUUGUACACACCGCCCGUCGCUGCAACUGAUUGGGUGACCUGGUGAACAUCUUGGACCGGCUUGCCCAUUUUUGGACGAGUUGGAAAAGGACGUAAAUCAGGUACAUCUAGAAAUUGCAAAAGUCGUAACA